rnacentral:rRNA from 1 species
CCUACGGGGGGCUGCAGUGGGGAAUAUUGGACAAUGGGGGCAACCCUGAUCCAGCCAUGCCGCGUGUGUGAAGAAGGCCCUCGGGUUGUAAAGCACUUUCAGUGAGGAAGAACGCCUGGUGGUUAAUACCCAUCAGGAAAGACAUCACUCACAGAAGAAGCACCGGCUAACUCCGUGCCAGCAGCCGCGGUAAUACGGAGGGUGCGAGCGUUAAUCGGAAUUACUGGGCGUAAAGCGCGCGUAGGUGGCUUGAUAAGCCGGUUGUGAAAGCCCCGGGCUCAACCUGGGAACGGCAUCCGGAACUGUCAAGCUAGAGUGCAGGAGAGGAAGGUAGAAUUCCCGGUGUAGCGGUGAAAUUCGUAGAGAUCGGGAGGAAUACCAGUGGCGAAGGCGGCCUUCUGGACUGACACUGACACUGAGGUGCGAAAGCGUGGGUAGCAAACAGGAUUAGAUACCCUAGUAGUC